AAAAUUUUUGCUAAAUUCCUGAAAAAUGAAGAAAUUUUUACAUUUUCUCAAACAGGGUAAGGAACUUGGUUCUUCGAAUAACUUCUGGCACAGACAUCUGAGGGUAUGGCCGUCCAUGAAGAAAAUGUAGCCAUUGAUGCCAUCUAUCGACCACAGGUUAAAGAUUGGCGAUCCGUUGGAUACCGACCGAGUUAUAGGCAAAACUUGGCGCAAAAAUGAGGAAAAUUUUACAUUUUCUCAAACAGGGUAAGGAACUUGGUUCCUUGAAUAACUUCUGGCACAGACAUCUGACGGUAUGGCCGUCCAAGAAGAAAAUGUAGCCAUUGAUGCCAUCUAUCGACCACAGGUUAAAGAUUGGCGAUCCGUUGGAUACCGACCGAGUUAUAGGCAAAACUUGGGGCAAAAAUGAGGAAAAUUUUACAUUUUCUCAAACAGGGUAAGGAACUUGGUUCCUUGAAUAACUUCUGGCACAGACAUCUGAGGGUAUGGCCGUCCAUGAAGAAAAUGUAGCCAUUGAUGCCAUCUAUCGACCACAAGUUAAAGAUUGGCGAUCCGUUGGAUACCGACCGAGUUAUAGGCAAAACUUGGCGCAAAAAUGAGGAAAAUUUUACAUUUUCUCAAACAGGGUAAGGAACUUGGUUCCUUGAAUAACUUCUGGCACAGACAUCUGAGGGCAUGGCCGUCCAUGAAGAAAAUGUAGCCAUUGGUGCCAUCUAUCGACCACAGGUUAAAGAUUGGCGAUCCGUUGGAUACCGACCGAGUUAUAGGCAAAACUUGGGGCAAAAAUGAGGAAAAUUUUACAUUUUCUCAAACAGGGUAAGGAACUUGGUUCCUUGAAUAACUUCUGGCACAGACAUCUGAGGGCAUGGCCGUCCAUGAAGAAAAUGUAGCCAUUGGUGCCAUCUAUCGACCACAGGUUAAAGAUUGGCGAUCCGUUGGAUACCGACCGAGUUAUAGGCAAAACUUGGCGCAAAAAUGAGGAAAAUUUUACAUUUUCUCAAACAGGGUAAGGAACUUGGUUCCUUGAAUAACUUCUGGCACAGACAUCUGAGGGCAUGGCCGUCCAUGAAGAAAAUGUAGCCAUUGGUGCCAUCUAUCGACCACAGGUUAAAGAUUGGCGAUCCGUUGGAUACCGACCGAGUUAUAGCCAAAACUUGGCGCAAAAAUGAGGAAAAUUUUACAUUUCUCAAACAGGGUAAGGAACUUGGUUCCUUGAAUAACUUCCGACACAGACAUCUGAGGGUAUAGCCGUCCAUGAAGAAAAUGUAGCCAUUGAUGCCAUCUAUCGACCACAUGUUAAAGAUUGGCGAUCCGUUGGAUACCGACCGAGUUAUAGGCAAAAUUUGGUGCAAAAAUGACCCUUAGUAAAUUUUCAUUUUUUUGAAUUUUUUGAUUUUUUCAUUAUUUUUCACUCUUUUUUUUAUUUCAAUCAUUAUUUGAGUGAAAAGAAACUCAUUGCAACCAAUUGGGAUUAAAAUAAAACAAUUUUAUUUUUUUUGCAAAAUUUCUCAAAAAAACGUAAGGGGUAAGCCUUAUGAAAUUUUCGAGUUGAAAUUUUUUUGAAAUUUUUUUUUUCGAUUUUUUAUUCUUUUUUUAGUUUAAAGCAUUAUUUGAGUGAAAAGAAACAUAUUGCAACAAAUUCCCAUUAAAAUAUAUCACAUUUUUCAAUAUUGCUAAAUUGUUCAGAAACAGGGUAAGGAACUUGGUUCCAUGAAUAACUUCUGGCACAGACAUCUGACGGUAUGGCCGUCCAAGAAGAAAAUGUAGCCAUUGAUGCCAUCUAUCGAUCACAAGUUAAAGAUUGGCGAUCCGUUGGAUACCGACCGAGUUAUAGGUAAAAGUUGGUGCAAAAAUGAGAAAAAUUUUACAUUUUCUCAAACAGGGUAAGGAACUUGGUUCCCUGAACAACUUCUGGCACAGACAUCUGAGGGCAUGGCCGUCCAAGAAGAAAAUGUAGCCAUUGAUGCCAUCUAUCGAUCACAGGUUUAAAGAUUGGCGAUCCGUUGGAUACCGACCGAGUUAUAGGCAAAAGUUGGUGCAAAAAUGAGAAAAAAUUUACAUUUUAUCAAACAGGGUAAGGAACUUGGUUCCUCGAAUAACUUCUGGCACAGACAUCUGAGGGUAUGGCCGUCCAAGAAGAAAAUGUAGCCAUUGAUGCCAUCUAUCGAUCACAAGUUAAAGAUUGGCGAUCCGUUGGAUACCGACCGAGUUAUAGGCAAAAGUUGGUGCAAAAAUGAGAAAAAUUUUACAUUUUCUCAAACAGGGUAAGGAACUUGGUUCCCUGAACAACUUCUGGCACAGACAUCUGAGGGCAUGGCCGUCCAAUAAGAAAAUGUAGCCAUUGAUGCCAUCUAUCGAUCACAGGUUUAAAGAUUGGCGAUCCGAUGGAUACCGACCGAGUUAUAGGCAAAAUUUGGUGCAAAAAUGAGAAAAAAUUUACAUUUUAUCAAACAGGGUAAGGAACUUGGUUCCUCGAAUAACUUCUGGCACAGACAUCUGAGGGUAUGGCCGUCCAAGAAGAAAAUGUAGCCAUUGAUGCCAUCUAUCGAUCACAAGUUAAAGAUUGGCGAUCCGUUGGAUACCGACCGAGUUAUAGGUAAAAGUUGGUGCAAAAAUGAGAAAAAUUUUACAUUUUCUCAAACAGGGUAAGGAACUUGGUUCCCUGAACAACUUCUGGCACAGACA